GAUGAACGCUGGCGGCGUGCCUAAUACAUGCAAGUCGAGCGAACAGACGAGGAGCUUGCUCCUCUGACGUUAGCGGCGGACGGGUGAGUAACACGUGGAUAACCUACCUAUAAGACUGGGAUAACUUCGGGAAACCGGAGCUAAUACCGGAUAAUAUAUUGAACCGCAUGGUUCAAUAGUGAAAGACGGUUUUGCUGUCACUUAUAGAUGGAUCUGCGCGGAUUAGCUAGUUGGUAAGGUAACGGCUUACCAAGGCAACGAUGCGUAGCCGACCUGAGAGGGUGAUCGGCCACACUGGAACUGAGACAGGGUCCAGACUCCUACGGGAGGCAGCAGUAGGGAAUCUUCCGCAAUGGGCGAAAGCUUGACGGAGCAACGCCGCGUGAGUGAUGAAGGUCUUCGGAUCGUAAAACUCUGUUAUUAGGGAAGAACAAAUGUGUAAGUAACUAUGCACGUCUUGACGGUACCUAAUCAGAAAGCCACGGCUAACUACGUG
rnacentral:rRNA from 1 species